rnacentral:rRNA from 1 species
CCUGAAGUUCCCGUUAAAGCGAGUAGGUAUAUUUUCUAUAGGCAAAUCCGUAGAGAAUGCCGAACGUGAUAGUACUCGGAGGUUUCGGCCAAAGAGAUAGUGACUGUAAUCAAGCUCACGAGAAAAACCUCUAAGUUAUGGUUAUUACAACCCGUACCGUAAACCGACACAGGUAGUCGAGAAGAGUAUUCUAAGGCGCUCGGGUGAGCCACGGAGAAGGAACUAGGCAAAUUGUAGCUGUAACUUCGGGAUAAAGCUAUCCGGCGUAAGCCGGAUUCAAUGAAAUGGUUCAACCAACUGUUUAGCAAAAACACAGGGCCCUGCAAAAUCGAAAGAUGACGUAUAGAGCCUGAUACCUGCCCGGUGCCGGAAGGUUAAGGAAGCUUGUCAGCCGCAAGGCAAAGCUUGCGACCGAAGCCCCGGUAAACGGCGGCCGUAACAAUAACGGUCCUAAGGUAGCGAAAUUCCUUGUCGGGUAAGUUCCGACCUGCACGAAUGGUCUAAUGAGUUGAACGCUGUCUCCUCCGUGAGCCCGGUGAAAUUGUAGUAUCGGUGAAGAUGCCGGUUACCCGCCACGGGACGAAAAGACCCCGUGAACCUUCACUACAACUUUGCAUUGAUUUUGAGUAACAGAUGUGUAGCAUAGUUGGGAGGCUACGAAGCAGGUGCGCCAGCAUUUGUGGAGCCAACGUUGAAAUACCAACCUUCUGUUACUUAGAGUCUAAUCCCGCAAGGGAGACAUUGCAUGGUGGGUAGUUUGACUGGGGUGGUCGCCUCCUAAAGUGUAACGGAGGCUCGCAAAGGUACCCUCAGUACGGUUGGUAAUCGUACGCAGAGCGCAUUAGUAUAAGGGUGCUUGACUGUGAGGCUGACCAGCCAAGCAGGUGCGAAAGCAGGCUAAAGUGGUCCGGUGGUUUCCGAAUGGAAGGGCCAUCGCUCAAAGGAUAAAAGGUACUCCGGGUUAACAGGCUGAUCUCCCCCAAGAGCUCAUAUCGACGGGGAGGUUUGGCACCUCGAUGUCGGUUCGUCACAUCCUGGGGCUGGAGAAGGUCCCAAGGGUUCGGCUGUUCGCCGAUUAAAGUGGCACGUGAACUGGGUUCAGAACGUCGCAAGACAGUUCGGUCUCUAUCUGUGGUGGGCGUUAGUAAAUUGCGAGGACAUGCUCUUAGUACGAGAGGACCGGAGCGUAUGUACCGCUGGUGUAUCUGUUGUUCCGCCAGGGGCAGUGCAGAGUAGCUAUGUACAGACAGGAUAAGCGCUGAAAGCAUCUAAGCGCGAAACCUUCCUCAAGGUGAGUUUACUUUUAAGUGCCGUCAAAGACUAUGACGUUGAUAGGCUAUAGGUGUAAAGGUGGUAACAUCAAAGCCGAGUAGUACUAAUUGCACGUAAGCUUUAAUU